rnacentral:rRNA from 1 species
GACGGAGGGGGCAAGCGUUGUCCGGAAUCAUUGGGCGUAAAGCGCGUGUAGGCGGCCCGGUAAGUCCGCUGUGAAAGUCGGGGGCUCAACCCUCGAAUGCCGGUGGAUACUGUCGGGCUAGAGUGCGGGAGAGGCGAGUGGAAUUCCUGGUGUAGCGGUGAAAUGCGCAGAUAUCAGGAGGAACACCAAUUGCGAAGGCAGCUCGCUGGGACGUAACUGACGCUGAGACGCGAAAGCGUGGGGAGCAAACAGG